UGUUAUACUUAAUUGAAAUUAUUCAAGCUUGAGUAGUAAUCAGUUAUGUUCUUGAAACUUAAAGGAUUUGGCGGUAUCUUAGUCUAGUUAGAGGAACCUGUUUUAUAAACGAUAUACCACGAAAUAUCUUACUUCUUUUGGUGAAAUCAGUUUGUAUACCGUCAUUAUUAGAUAAUCUUUAUAAGGAGUUAUUAAAAUAAGGUUUUGUUAAUAUAUUAGAUCAAGGUGCAGCCGAUAUAGGAGAAAGUAAUGGGUUACAAUGUUAUUUGAAACAAACGGAAGAAAAAUAGAAUGUUUUUUUGAAGGUGGAUUUAAUAGUAAUUGUAUUUUAAUAAGGGAUAGUGAUAUUAGCUCUAUGAUAU
rnacentral:rRNA from 1 species